rnacentral:rRNA from 1 species
AUUGAACGCUGGCGGCAGGCCUAACACAUGCAAGUCGAACGGUAACAGGAAGAAGCUUGCUUCUUUGCUGACGAGUGGCGGACGGGUGAGUAAUGUCUGGGAAACUGCCUGAUGGAGGGGGAUAACUACUGGAAACGGUAGCUAAUACCGCAUAACGUCGCAAGACCAAAAAGGGGGACCUUCGGGCCUCUUGCCAUCGGAUGUGCCCAGAUGGGAUUAGCUAGUAGGUGGGGUAACGGCUCACCUAGGCGACGAUCCCUAGCUGGUCUGAGAGGAUGACCAGCCACACUGGAACUGAGACACGGUCCAGACUCCUACGGGAGGCAGCAGUGGGGAAUAUUGCACAAUGGGCGCAAGCCUGAUGCAGCCAUGCCGCGUGUAUGAAGAAGGCCUUCGGGUUGUAAAGUACUUUCGGCGGGGAGGAAGGGAGUAAAGUUAAUACCUUUGCUCAUUGACGUUACCCACAGAAGAAGCACCGGCUAACUCCGUG